rnacentral:rRNA from 1 species
AUUGAACGCUGGCGGCAGGCCUAACACAUGCAAGUCGAGCGGAUGAAGGGAGCUUGCUCCUGGAUUCAGCGGCGGACGGGUGUGUAAUGCCUAGGAAUCUGCCUGGUAGGGGGGGAUAACGUCCGGAAACGGGCGCUAAUACCGCAUACGUCCUGAGGGAGAAAGUGGGGGAUCUUCGGACCUCACGCUCUCAGAUGAGCCUAGGUCGGAUUAGCUAGUUGGUGGGGUAAAGGCCUACCAAGGCGACGAUCCGUAACUGGUCUGAGAGGAUGAUCGGUCACACUGGAACUGAGACACGGUCCAGACUCCUACGGGAGGCAGCAGUGGGGAAUGUUGGACAAUGGGCGAAAGCCUGAUCCAGCCAUGCCGCGUGUGUGAAGAAGGUCUUCGGAUUGUAAAGCACUUUAAGUUGGGAGGAAGGGCAGUAAGUUAAUACCUUGCUGUUUUGACGUUACCAACAGAAUAAGCACCGGCUAACUUCGUG